rnacentral:lncRNA from 1 species
AUGUAGGGGAGGGGGACAUGGACGGGGUCCAUCGCUGACCUCUGCAUCCCCCCCGCUCCUCGCCAGCCACCUGCCGUGCACCCCUGGAGGUGCGGGGGGAGAGCCAGGGGGUGAUCCGCAGCUUCCCCCCCCGGCAUGGCCGCAUCCUGCCUGGCAAGUGCACCUGGGUCAUCCUGGGGGGCCCAGAGGAUGUGGUGACCAUCAGGUUCGAGCGGUUCCAGUUGGCGUGUGGGGAGGCGAAACUCUACAUUUGGGCUCACUCCUACCCCCACCAGGCCCUCUGCGGCUCCCGGCUCCCCGCCCCCCUGGAGUACAGGGGCACCAAUGUCACCCUGAGCUACGGGCGCACCUGGACGGUGGCAGAAGGAUUCCAGCUCCGCUACGAGAGAGGUCCCCUCCUCUCUGCCUCACCUCCAUCUUGUAACCUGACCCUGGAUGAUUUCUAUGGGGUCUUCUCUCCGCCUGCCUGGCCUGGAGGCCCUGCUGGAGCCCUCGUCCGGUGCCGCUGGGCCCUGGACCCCCACGACAGUCGCCCCCUCACUGUGCUCUUCACCACGCUGGACCUGGCUCCGAACGACUCCCUAGAAGUGUACGAGGGCCACCCAGACCUGUUGGCCGAGCCGCGGCUGCUGCGGCGUGUGGAUGCGGCCAGCAACGGGCAGCCAGUGGUGGUGGAGUCGCCCUCCAGCCGGGCGUGGGUGGCCUGGCAGGGCCUGGGGGGCCGUGGCUUCAACGCCACCUACCACGUGCGUGGGUUCUGCGUGCCCUGGCAGCGGCCCUGCGGCCGGGGGGACGAGGCCCGGUGCUACGGGGAGGCGGAGCGCUGCGAUGGCAUCUGGCACUGCCCAGACGGGGCGGACGAGGAGCACUGCCCAGGCUGCCCAGAAGGGAGCUACCCCUGCCGGGGUGGCGCCGGCGGCCCCUGCUACGCACCCGCUGACCGGUGCAACUACCAGACACUGUGCCCGGACGGGGCGGACGAGCGGGGCUGCUGGCACUGCCAGCCCGGCAACUUCCGGUGCGGGGACGGGCGCUGCGUCUACGAGGCCUGGCGCUGCGACGGGCAGCCUGACUGUGCCGACGCCUCGGACGAGGUCUCCUGCCCCUACACCCUGCCCCGCAAGGUGGUGGCAGCCGCGGCCAUCGGCAGCCUGGUCUGCGGCCUCCUGCUGGUCAUCGCGCUGGGCUGCACCUGCCGGCUCUACGCCGUGCGCAGCCGGGAGUACAGCCUCUUCGCCCCCCUGUCCCGCAGCGAUGCCCAGCUGGUCCGGCAGGAGGCGCCCCCGUCCUAUGGGCAGCUCAUCGCACAGGGGCUGGUCCCACCCCUCGAGGACUUCCCCACCGAAAGCCCCGGGCAGAUAUAUUUUUAAAUGCAAAAUCGGAAGCUGAGUUUUCACAAGUUCCACAGCUAGAAAAGUUGGACUUGAUUCUCAACCCAGACUCUUUGUGUUGCUGGUUUUUUUUUUUUUUUUUUUAAUAAGCUUCUUAACGGCAAAGUUUGGAUCAGAAAAAAAGACACCAACUUUUUGCAGUGAAGUUUUAUUUGGUUUGCUUGUUCGCUUGUUUGUUUUGUACAAUUAUAUUUGAAAGAGAGGAACUAGGGAGAAAAUCAAGUUGCAAAUCUAUGCCCCAGAAAAUUGAGGUGGGGGAUGUCAGUGGAAAGCAUUUGCCUG